rnacentral:rRNA from 1 species
CCUACGGGAGGCAGCAGUGGGGAAUAUUGCACAAUGGGGGAAACCCUGAUGCAGCGACGCCGCGUGAGUGAAGAAGUAUUUCGGUAUGUACAGCUCUAUCAGCAGGGAAGAAAAUGACGGUACCUGAUUAAGAAGCCCCGGCUCACUACGUGCCAGCAGCCGCGGUAAUACGUAGGGGGCAAGCGUUAUCCGGAUUUACUUGGUGUAAAGGGAGCGGAGACGGCAGCACAAGUCUGGAGCGAAAGGCCUGGGCUUAACCCCGGAACUGCUUUGGAAACUGUGCAGCUAGAGUGCAGGAGAGGUAAGUGGAAUUCCUAGUGUAGCGGUGAAAUGCGUAGAUAUUAGGAGGAACACCAGUGGCGAAGGCGGCUUACUGGACUGUAACUGACGUUGAGGCUCGAAAGCGUGGGGAGCAAACAGGAUUAGAUACCCGAGUAGUC